UAAGAGCCAAUCCGCCAGAAAACCAUGCAAUAUUCAGAAAAUCGUCCAAAUCGACAAUCACAACUUGACAAAUUUUUAUACAUCAUCUUAAUCCUUGACAUAAAAUAAAAGAAUUUGACCACUUAAUUUUUCCCAGAAUCGUAUCUAUUUUUAGUAACAGCCUCAUUUGCAUAAUUCUGUAAAUUCAUAAUGAAACCAAGGAAAAAUCCAACUUUUUUAUGCCUUUUAAGAAUGACCCAGAAGCAUAUUAAAUGGGGUAGUUGAGUUUUUAGAGUAAUGUCAGCUGAAAAUCAUCCAUUUUACUAUGGUAUGAUCAAUACAAAUGAAAAUUUAAACGAUUUGGCACAUUGCCAGGAGCAGGGACACAAAGGCGGGUUUUUUCAUACAUGAAUUUACAUGGUUUUCAUUCGCUUCUAUCUUGCAAGACCCAUUCCGGAUUUGUUUGCAACUUAUAUCGGUUUUAACUAUGGGGUAUGUUUUAUAUCAAAACAAAAUAUUAAGCUUGGCAAAUGACUAUUAUAUGUUAAUUUAUGCCUUGGAAGAAUGGUGAUUUUAGUCCCAAAUUGACACAUUUUGAUUUUGAUUUUAAUUAAAUUCUAAACACAAUUGGUACUAAAAUGGCUCAUAAAAUCAUUCGAACAAGUAAAAUCAAUUUGUCUGAAAAAUGAAAUAAGACGUAUUUGUACUGCAAGUCCAAAAAUCAAUAAAUUGUCUGAAACCAGGGAGUCCAUCUUUUAUGCUCUUCCAUUGACUUAUCUCCCUUGGGUAGAUCUCAAACAUGUCAGCUCCCAGUAUGGUUUGGCAGACAAAUGUUUACAGUGAAGUUUGUGACUUUAAUAAUCUAGGAUGAGCAUGUGGGCUGUCCCAGCCUUAUACAUCUACAUAUUACAAACUAUUUAAGAUAUCUGAAUGCACUAAAGACCAAAAUAGCAUUUCCAAAAAAAAUAAUUACUGCCAAGAAAUUGGACAAUCAUGACAAUAAUUUAGUGAAUAAACAUGAUAAAUAUUGAUUGGAAAAAUAAGUCCAUGAACAGCAAAAAGUGUUUUUAGAUUUCAACGAGCAAAACAAAAGUAUUCUAAAUCAUUCUUCGUAAAAAAAAGUGAGCGAGUGGAACCACCUUGCUCGCACCAAAAUUGAGAUUGAGAGUGUCAAAACUGCUCUGGCGCACGAUCAAUAAAUUAACGACACUCUCUCUACCGUGGUAUUGAAACCAGCAUUGGUAACCAAACAUAUUCAUACAGAUACAGACUACCAUUCAUCUACAUUUAGGAAGUCUGAAUAAUACUGAAAGCUUAUGGUGCAGAAUUUCCAACAGGACUCCUUAUUUUAUAUAAGACAAGGAGUGGUUUAUUUUCCCAUGGUUGUUACAUCAUCUUGUCUUUGAAUAUGCUCGAAGUACAGGGACUUUUAUGGAAUUCAUUGACAUGAUAGUCAAGCAAGAUGUCAACAUCUCGUCCAACCCUCUUCCAGCAAAGCCAAAGCUGACCAAGGAUCUUCACCCUUUCAAAACAGGCUGUAUACAGGACGAGUUAUUCCAGUAGGAACAGAGCUAUAUAUAUGCAAGCAAUGCUCAAUUAAGAUGAAUUUUUGUAAAAGUGACAAUAGCCAGGUCAAACUAAAUACAUGUAUAGAAGAAGAUAUUGAUCUAGACUCGCAGCUAACCUUUCUGUCAGUGUCAACAACAACUGAACUUUCACAGCAGUCAACAUCAGAUUGGGAGACUGAUAAUGCUUCUAACAGAAACAAUUUCAACCAACCAAACAAGCAACAGAAACUUUCCAACUUUAAAACAUCAGUUAAAUUUUCCAUGGGAUGAUGUCUCAAAAAAUAACAGUUCAUCAUUUAUGGAGAUUUUAAUGUUAUGGUUUUUCUUUUACAAGAAAGUUAAUGUACACUUGUUUUAUAGUAAAACCUAUAGCCGUUCAAGUAUAAAAAAACACAUUGAACUUUAUUGAAAUUUGAAGAUUCAUAUGACUUAUUUUAAUUCUGUUAUCUCCGAGGAUGUGAUGUAGAGCAUUAUAGGUACAGUAAUCUUAACAGCUAUCCAAUUUCAUUCAAAAUUCUUUAUAAAUUUUGCACUGGUAUAUAUAGACUAAGUAAUUUGUUUUUCGUCUAGUUAUGGGAUUUUUUUUUAGAAGCAUUUAUGAUUUUCAUGUUUGUAUUGACCACAUUGCAGCAACAUAGAUAUAGGUACCUGGCAAAUCUUGCCUUGUUAGCAUACUAGGCUCAAAGGGUCAUAAAAAAAUUUUCCAUCACUAAGUGUCUGUUAAAAUCAUCUGUUUACAGUUUUCACUUUUAAACCAUCAUCUUAAUAACUUUUAGAAGAAGUGUCAUACAUAUAUAUAUAUGUAUACAAAAUUUAAAAACUUUUCAAUAUAUAUAUAUAUAUAUAUAUUGAUAAAAACUAUCAACAUGACAAGAACUAAAUACCCAAAAUUUUUCUGAAAAAUUGGACAUAACAUCUAUGAGCUAUUGUCCCUGAAAUGUGUAAAUUUACAAAUUUUCACAGUGUUCUGCUACUAUCCGACAACUAUAUCAAUAUAUUAUAAGAAUAAAUUGCAAAAGUGGUCAGAAGAAACUUUUUUUUUACAGUCUGAACUUAUUCUGAAUUGUUUAACUUCUAAUUUAAAUUGAUUGCGUUUGAAAUAUGUGUUUUUUAUCGUUUUAGGUGCACAAUUUGUCAAUACGAUCUAUUUCGGCUCCUGGGAGCCUCUAGAUUUAUAAUGAAUAAUUUGUAUUUAUGUAUGAUUAUUUUCAUAAUGUAUUAAAUGAAACAUUAAUUAUUCUUU